rnacentral:rRNA from 1 species
UACAUGGGGUGCAAACGUUGCUCGGAAUUACUGGGCGUAAAGCGCACGUAGGCGGAUUCGUAAGUCAGGGGUGAAAUCCCCGGGCUUAACCUGGGAACUGCGCUUGUAACUGGCAAGCUAGAGUGUGGCAGAGGGGGGUGGAAUUCCACGUGUAGCAGUGAAAUGCGUAGAGAUGUGGAGGAACACCGAUGGCGAAGGCAGCCCCCUGGGCUAACACUGACGCUCAUGCACGAAAGCGUGGGGAGCAAACAGG